ACCCUACGGGGGGCAGCAGUAGGGAAUCUUCCACAAUGGACGAAAGUCUGAUGGAGCAACGCCGCGUGAGUGAAGAAGGGUUUCGGCUCGUAAAGCUCUGUUGGUAGUGAAGAAAGAUAGAGGUAGUAACUGGCCUUUAUUUGACGGUAAUUACUUAGAAAGUCACGGCUAACUACGUGCCAGCAGCCGCGGUAAUACGUAGGUGGCAAGCGUUGUCCGGAUUUAUUGGGCGUAAAGCGAGUGCAGGCGGUUUAAUAAGUAUGGUGUGAAAGCCUUCGGGCCCACCCGAGAAA
rnacentral:rRNA from 1 species